rfam:Felis catus isolate Cinnamon breed Abyssinian chromosome X, whole genome shotgun sequence.
GCCUGGGUGGCUCAGUCGGUUAGGCAUCCGACUUCGGCUCAGGUCAUGAUCUCACGGUUUGUGAGUUCGAGCCCCACCUCAGGCU